rnacentral:rRNA from 1 species
GACGAACGCUGGCGGCGUGCUUAACACAUGCAAGUCGAACGCUGAAGCUUGGUGCUUGCACUGGGUGGAUGAGUGGCGAACGGGUGAGUAAUACGUGAGUAACCUGCCCUUGACUCUGGGAUAAGCCUGGGAAACUGGGUCUAAUACUGGAUACGACAUGUCACCGCAUGGUGGUGUGUGGAAAGGGUUUUACUGGUUUUGGAUGGGCUCACGGCCUAUCAGCUUGUUGGUGGGGUAAUGGCUCACCAAGGCGACGACGGGUAGCCGGCCUGAGGGGGUGACCGGCCACACUGGGACUGAGACACGGCCCAGACUCCUACGGGAGGCAGCAGUGGGGAAUAUUGCACAAUGGGCGGAAGCCUGAUGCAGCGACGCCGCGUGAGGGAUGACGGCCUUCGGGUUGUAAACCUCUUUCAGCACGGAAGAAGCGAAAGUGACGGUACGUGCAGAAGAAGCGCCGGCUAACUACGU